UUUACGCUAUUUCUGCUGGAGUUACUAAUGCUCUUUAGUUUUUUUUUUUUGUUUUUCCUUUCCUUCACUGAGCCGAGGGUCGAUUGGAAACAGCCUCUCUUCCCCUUCGGGUAAGGGUAAGACCCGUCUACAUAUUACCCUCCCCACACCCCACUUUGUGGGACUAUACUGCGUAGUUGUUGUUGUUGUUGUUGAGCUGUGGGUGCUCGAAUCUGAGACACAUAUGGGUCUGGGGACAGUCCGUUGCUGUGUUCCGGUUCCGAUUUUCUGUUUGUCGUUGUAAUUGCCUGAAGGAUUCGCUUGAUUCAAGGUUGUAACCGUUGAAAUUUUGUUAAUGAUGAUGAUAGG
rnacentral:lncRNA from 1 species